rnacentral:sRNA from 1 species
AGUGUGCUUGAGAAACAAACUGCACCCACUGAACUCCGCAGCUAGCAUCCAAAUCAGCCCUUGAGAUUUGAGGCCUUGGAGACUCAGGAGUUUUGAGAGCAAAAUGACAACACCCAGAAAUUCAGUAAAUGGGACUUUCCCAGCAGAGCCAAUGAAAGGCUCUAUUGCUAUGCAAUCUGGUCCAAAACCACUCUUCAGGAGGAUGUCUUCACUGGUGGGCCCCACACAAAGCUUCUUCAUGAGGGAAUCUAAGGCUCUGGGGGCUGUCCAGAUUAUGAAUGGGCUCUUCCACAUUGCCCUGGGGGUCUUCUGAUGAUCCCAGCAGGGAUCUAUGCACCCAUCUGUGUGACUGUGUGGUACCCUCUCUGGGGAGGCAUUAUGCCUGUAUGUGAGAAAAGGAAAAUGAGCAAUAGUCAUCAUCACUUCCUGUAACAGCCAAUGUUUUCAUGGAGUGCCUGUGCCAUUCAGGUCAAGUAUUUCCUUCUGCAUCAGUUCACUCUUCAGAGGGCAUCAGAGUCAUUUAUGUCACUGUGAACCCCAAAGGGCAGUUCCACAAGUUAAAAACAAAGAAAAACUAGAAAUAAAACUUUUAAAUUCAUGGUAUGAGUAUUAAUUGAUGAGGAAAUUUGAGUUCUGUCUCUUUGGUCUUACUAUAUUCUUAGUCACAGAUCCCCAGAUGAUUGAGUAAAAGGCAUGAAUUUAGUGUCACUGAGCCUGAAUAAAGGAGGAAUAUGACAGCUGAAAAAUGAAUACAACUGAUAAAAAUGGGUGGAUGGUUGUGUGAAAGUUGCUGAAAGUGUAGGCUUCUUUCUGACCAGUUAUCAAUGUUAAAAAGUGAUCUCCCUCUCUCCUCUAUCUCCUGUCUUGCCCACCCCCUCUCCAUCUCCCCCACCUCUCUUUUUUACAGUAUAUUAUUUCCGGAUCACUCCUGG